AGCAUUAUACCGUGAAACUGCGAAUGGCUCAUUAAAUCAGUUAUCGUUUAUUUGAUAGUACCUUACUACUUGGAUAACCGUGGUAAUUCUAGAGCUAAUACAUGCUAAAAACCCCGACUUCGGGAGGGGUGUAUUUAUUAGAUAAAAAACCAAUGCCCUCCGGGGCUCUUUGGUGAUUCAUGAUAACUUCUCAGAUCGCAUGGCCUUGCGCCGGCGACGGUUCAUUCAAAUUUCUGCCCUAUCAACUUUCGAUGGUAAGGUAUUGGCUUACCAUGGUUUCAACGGGUAACGGGGAAUUAGGGUUCGAUUCCGGAGAGGGAGCCUGAGAAACGGCUACCACAUCCAAGGAAGGCAGCAGGCGCGCAAAUUACCCAAUCCCGACACGGGGAGGUAGUGACAAUAAAUACUGAUACAGGGCUCUUUUGGGUCUUGUAAUUGGAAUGAGUACAAUUUAAACCUCUUAACGAGGAACAAUUGGAGGGCAAGUCUGGUGGAUUUCAGUACCCAUUUUGCUGACGCCAGCGAUAGUCGGGCACUCUUCAGUGCUAUGCCGGCUAGUCGAAUACCUCAAAACUGAUGGGUAGGUAUCGGCAAGACAACCUGGAUCGAGGGAGGCUACGGCGCGAAAGCGCUAUGUUGACCCCGAGCAGAGCUGCCAGGGAGCAAUCCCUGGGAGGCCUGUGUAGAGCGCGCAAAGGUGUCGACCGGCUCACCGAGUUGGUUUAAGGGACGUGCCAUUCCCAUCCGAAAGGGUGGCUGCCAGUCUGAGCGCCAUCACGCAAGGGCUGGCAGGUUCAAACCAGAGUGCAAUCCAUGGGGUUGCCCUGCCCGUUUGAAGUGAACCAAAGGCCAGCAGCCGCGGUAAUUCCAGCUCCAAUAGCGUAUAUUAAAGUUGUUGCAGUUAAAAAGCUCGUAGUUGAACCUUUGGCCUGGCUCGCAGGUCCGCCUCACCGCGUGCACUUGACCGGCCGGGCCUUCUUUUCUGGAGAACCGCAUGCCCUUCACUGGGUGUGUUGGGGACCAGGACUUUUACUUUGAAAAAAUUAGAGUGUUCAAAGCAGGCCUUUGCUCGAAUACGUUAGCAUGGAAUAAUAGAAUAGGACGUGCGGUCCUAUUUUGUUGGUUUCUAGGACCGCCGUAAUGAUUAAUAGGGACAGUCGGGGGCAUCAGUAUUCAAUUGUCAGAGGUGAAAUUCUUGGAUUUAUUGAAGACUAACUACUGCGAAAGCAUUUGCCAAGGAUGUUUUCAUUAAUCAGUGAACGAAAGUUAGGGGAUCGAAGACGAUUAAAAUGGUUGUCCUGUGCCUUUUCGGGCUGGGGAACGGAUCUGGUCGUUAAGAGUGGCUGCGGGAGUGGCUGCUAGUCUGUCCUUUGCAGGCAACAUCAUCAAAUUGCGGGAACACCUUGGAAAGCUCAACUACCGCCCUGCUCUGUGAAAGCUUUGCUGGGCACCCGGGAGAGAGACCCGUGGGCAUGGUAAAAACGUUGGGUGUGCGUGCUGUCACGGUACGCUAGAGGCAAUCCGCAGCCAAGCCCCUAUCGCUGAGUAUAUCAGCCACGGGGAAGGUUCACAGACUAGACGGUGAUGGGCAGGUCAAUCCUGCUUAAGAUAUAGUCGAGUCCCCAAGUGAAAGCUUGGGGGAGGGUAAACGCAGAUACCGUCGUAGUCUUAACCAUAAACUAUGCCGACUAGGGAUCGGGCGGUGUUUCUAUUUUGACUCGCUCGGCACCUUACGAGAAAUCAAAGUGUU
rnacentral:rRNA from 1 species